rnacentral:rRNA from 1 species
UACGGGGGGGGCAAGCGUUGUGCGGAAUUACUGGGCGUAAAGGGCUCGUAGGCGGCCAACUAAGUCAGACGUGAAAUCCCUCGGCUUAACCGGGGAACUGCGUCUGAUACUGGAUGGCUUGAGUUUGGGAGAGGGAUGCGGAAUUCCAGGUGUAGCGGUGAAAUGCGUAGAUAUCUGGAGGAACACCGGUGGCGAAGGCGGCAUCCUGGACCAAUAUUGACGCUGAGGAGCGAAAGCCAGGGGAGCAAACGGG